UCUUGGCUCUCGCAACGAUGAAGAACGCAGCGAGG
rnacentral:rRNA from 12 species